AGUGAACGCUGGCGGCAGGCCUAAUACAUGCAAGUCGAACGGCAGCACAGUGGAGCUUGCUCCAUGGGUGGCGAGUGGCGGACGGGUGAGAAAUACAUGGGAAUCUGCCCAGUCGUGGGGAUAACGUAUGGAAACGUACGCUAAUACCGCAUGCGCCCUUCGGGGGGAAAGUCGGGGGAACCGCAAGGCCUGACGCGAUUGGAUGAGCCCAUGUUCGAUUAGCUAGUUGGCGGGGUAACGGCCCACCAAGGCGACGAUCGAUAGCUGGUCUGAGAGGAUGAUCAGCCACACUGGAACUGAGACACGGUCCAGACUCCUACGGGAGGCAGCAGUAGGGAAUAUUGGACAAUGGGGGCAACCCUGAUCCAGCCAUGCCGCGUGAGUGAAGAAGGCCCUCGGGUUGUAAAGC
rnacentral:rRNA from 1 species